GGUUUCUCUCUGUAGCCCUGGCUGUCCUGGAACUCACUCUGUAGACCAGGCUGGUCUUGAACUCAGAGAUCCACCUGCCUCUACCUCCUGAGUGCUGGGAUUAAAGGCGUGCGCCACCAACGCCCG
rnacentral:miRNA from 1 species